AUCCAAUCUAAGUACAGCCCAGCAUUAGCUGUGAUGCCACUCAACACACCCCUGCGCCUCACUUUCCCUGUGUGCAGAGGGGCCCGGGACACCUAACUCCUCGGGGUUCUCGGAGGACUAUGGAAAGAGGAAAGAGAAGCUAGGAGCAUUUCCUUUAAACUGAUGUUUGAUUUCUUCACAGAGUUAUCGUGGCCUUCGGAACUAGUAUGACAGAUACAUAGCAUCUAGCAAAAUAAUGGCAGCUGCUUACCUUGACCCAAACUUGAAUCACACACCGAAUUCGAGUACCAAGCCUCACCUGGGUACUGGAGUGGAACGUUCCCCUGGGGCAAUGGAGCGAGUGUUGAAGGUCUUUCAUUAUUUUGAAAACAGCAGUGAGCCAGCCACUUGGGCCAGUAUUAUCAGGCAUGGAGAUGCUACUGAUGUCAGGGGCAUCAUUCAGAAGAUAGUGGACAGUCACAAAGUAAAGCACGUGGCCUGCUAUGGAUUUCGCCUCAGUCACCUGCGGUCAGAGGAGGUUCACUGGCUCCAUUUGGAUAUGGGUGUCUCCAAUGUGAGGGAGAAGUAUGAACUUGCACACCCACCAGAGGAGUGGAAAUAUGAAUUGAGAAUUCGUUAUUUGCCAAAAGGAUUUCUAAACCAGUUUACUGAAGACAAGCCAACUCUGAAUUUCUUCUAUCAACAGGUAUAGGAGAGUGCUUUAAUAUACUUUUC